AUCCUGAGGCCCCUGGAGGGAAAUAACCUCGGUAGGUGUACGGGGUGAGAAUUAAUAAUGCCGAUUAAUUAGUGUAACACAAUUUAGGCGGCACUGGACCCGCUUUAUUUACAACCAGGUUAACUUAUAUAUCUAGGGUACUUACAGCUUAUGUACUUAAUA